UGGACGAACUCCACAUGUAUGUGCUACUUUGUGCCUCUGGCUUUAGGCGAAAACAUCUGAGAAAAUACAAGACGUCAUGGAGGCUGGGUUCCCUGCUUCUCUCUGCCCACUGAGCAGGAGCCACAGGAGCUCUGCACAGACUCUCGCCUGGCUCAAGCACAACACUGCACACUUGGAUAAAUACGAGAAAUAUUGCUGAUAAUGUAGGGUGAAAAUGAAUGUCUGACCUUGGAAAGAUGCAUGAAAAGGUUACCAUCAGUUCAUGUACCAUCAGGAUCUUCAGAGCUCAGGGAUCUUUGAUUGCGAAGCACAACUGCUCUGUGUUCAGCCUGUACCCGGAUCCAUUCUCUGUUGAUGUUGAUGCGACUUGGGGAUGAGAGGAACCAGUGAAAUGAAACCAGUGGGAGUCAUGCUGCCCCUGCAUCCUGAGUACUGAACUGACUCCAUAAAUUCAGCUCAUUGUUUCCUUACUAGCGAAUUUUAUGGAAGGAUGGCAAAUAUGCCUCCCAUUUAUUUGUGAUAUGCAAGAACUGCUUGGCCAAUUGAUGGGGAGAAAAGCUUGGACAUAUCCAGCUCACCUUUCAUGUUCUCCUUCUUGCAGGUUGGGUUGCAAGAAUCCUGUUGAAGUAGGAGCUGUCAUCUUGGAUUCGGAGAUACAUUUACAAAUGUGAGCCAAGCUUCUCAGAGCAAACAGAAAGAAGGAUAGAGGGCUGGAGGGAUGGCUUAGUGGUUAAGGUGUUUGCCUGUAAAGCCAAAGGAUCCCUUUUUGAUUCUCUAGGACCCACGUAAGCCAGAUGCACAAGGGGGUG